rnacentral:rRNA from 1 species
GGGUUGUGAGGUUAAGCGACUAAGCGUACACGGUGGAUGCCCUGGCAGUCAGAGGCGAUGAAGGACGUGCUAAUCUGCGAUAAGCGCCGGUAAGGUGAUAUGAACCGUUAUAACCGGCGAUUUCCGAAUGGGGAAACCCAGUGUGAUUCGUCACACUAUCAUUAACUGAAUCCAUAGGUUAAUGAGGCGAACCGGGGGAACUGAAACAUCUAAGUACCCCGAGGAAAAGAAAUCAACCGAGAUUCCCCCAGUAGCGGCGAGCGAACGGGGAGGAGCCCAGAGCCUGAAUCAGCAUGUGUGUUAGUGGAAGCGUCUGGAAAGGCGCGCGAUACAGGGUGACAGCCCCGUACACAAAAGCGCAUGUGCUGUGAGCUCGAUGAGUAGGGCGGGACACGUGGUAUCCUGUCUGAAUAUGGGGGGACCAUCCUCCAAGGCUAAAUACUCCUGACUGACCGAUAGUGAACCAGUACCGUGAGGGAAAGGCGAAAAGAACCCCGGCGAGGGGAGUGAAAAAGAACCUGAAACCGUGUACGUACAAGCAGUGGGAGCCCCACCACUAAGCCAGUGGUGAACUCCACAUACGCAUCCUUUGCUGAGGAUACGGUUAACGGAGCGCAAGCGACGUUCAACCGCAAAAGAAGCAGAGGGGGC